UUGCAUGUUCAGAUGGCUUUCAGGUGACCUGGUUCCUGGGACCAAGAGCAGAAGCCAGAAGGGAUUCCUUACUCUGAAGGCUUCCUGUGUAUCUGUGAAGCUGUUGGCAUUCAGCAAGAUCUCCAGGUAUGAGGCAGGAGGCCGUUCGGGCAGACCCAGUUGCUGAGCCCCUUACCCCUAACGUCCACUCCCCACUACCUCACUGAAGGUCUUCAAGAACUUUAUAUCCAUCAGUAUAUGGGUGCGGAAGUUGGGGUGUCUGUAAAUAUAUGGUAAGAUAACCUAA